UGCUUGGCUUUGGUGUCUCGAGACUCAUC
rnacentral:piRNA from 1 species